rnacentral:rRNA from 1 species
GAUGAACGCUGACAGAAUGCUUAACACAUGCAAGUCGAUGGGGAAGUGGUGCUUGCACCAUGGCAACCAUGGCGGACGGGUGAGUAACGCGUAAGGGACUUACCUGCAGGACUGGGAUAACAGGGGGAAACUCCUGACAAGACCGGAUAAUGUCAUGGAGCUGCAUGGCUUUAUGAUGAAAGGAGACGCCUGCGGAGAGCCUUGCGUCCUAUUAGCUAGUUGGUGAGGUAAUGGCUCACCAAGGCGAAGAUAGGUAGCCGGCCUGAGAGGGUGGACGGCCACAAGGGGACUGAGAUACGGACCUUAAUCCUAAGGGAGGCAGCAGUGGGGAAUAUUGGACAAUGGGGGCAACACUGAUCCAGCAAUUCUGUGUGCACGAAGAAGGUUUUCGGAUUGUAAAGUGCUUUCAGCAGGGAAGAAGUAAGUGACGGUACCUGCAGAAGAAGCGACGGCUAAAUACGUG